rnacentral:rRNA from 1 species
CUUUACCCAGUGCGUCUAGGGCUGGGCAUUCGAGCACGCCGCCACCGCCGCUGGGCGCCGUGCUUCUCUACGUUCCACGACCCCAGGGAUGCCUGGCGGCGAUCAGCGCACCGCUGCUAUCAGCGGCCAGGAAAAGGCAGAGGUAUUGCCGUCGCCAUCGGUAGCAGUGGCAGUGAUAUUGGGGCCUGAUGCGCUGCCCUCGAAGAUGAAGCCGCCAUCGCCGUCGGCCACCGUCGAACCUUCGUAGGCCUCCCCCUCAUCGCCCGAAUCCGAAUAGAUGUCGACGGUGCACUUGGGGCAGGCGCUGCCCCUUACCGGGCCCACGUCGCUGAUAGCGGGAGGUUCCAACUCCCCGUUGCCUCCGUCCGUGGUC